GCCCGAGUGGCGGAACGGCAGACGCAGUGGACUCAAAAUCCACCGGGGGCAACCCCGUGCGAGUUCGAAUCUCGCCUCGGGCA
rnacentral:tRNA from 2 species